UGGGGAAUAUUGUGAAAAGGGGGGGAACCCUGACGCAGCCAUGCCGCGUGAAUGAAUAAGGCCUUAGGGUUGUAAAGUUCUUUCGGUAUUGAGGAAGGUUGAUGUGUUAAUAGCACAUCAAAUUGACGUUAAAUACAGAAGAAGCACCGGCUAACUCCGUGCCAGCAGCCGCGGUAGUACGGAGGGUGCGAGCGUUAAUCGGAAUAACUGGGCGUAAAGGGCACGCAGGCGGUUAUUUAAGUGAGGUGGGAAAGCCCCGGGCUUAACCUGGGAAUUGCAUUUCAGACUGGGUAACUAGAGUGCUUUAGGGAGGGGUAGAAUUCCACGUGUAGCGGGGAAAUGCGAAGAGAUGUGGAGGAAUACCGAAGGCGAAGGCAGCCCCUUGGGAAUGUACUGACGCUCAUGUGCGAAAGCGUGGGGAGCAAACAGGAUUAGAUACCCUGGUAGUCCACGCUGUAAACGCUGUCGAUUUGGGGGUUGGGGUUUAACUCUGGCGCCCGUAGCUAACGUGAUAAAUCGACCGCCUGGGGAGUACGGCCGCAAGGGUUAAA
rnacentral:rRNA from 1 species